rnacentral:miRNA from 1 species
GCAGGCUGACUCUCUCUGAGCU